ensembl:snoRNA
AGCACAUCUUUGUGUUUUGUCUGUCGUGGUGGGCAAAAACUUGGAGUAAGUGCUAAGAAUAAACUCCUCUCUUGCAACCCACAACUGACUGAAUGUAUCAGUUGUGUUACUUAUAAGAAGGAACAUU